GUAAGGGAGAAAUACAAUAGGGACAGAAAGUACAAGGGUGUAAAGUAGAAUUACCUAAAGUAGAAUUACCUAACUAGUCUUUAGUCGCAUUUACAGAAGAAAAAAAAAAUGGAAAAAAGAAAAGAAAAAGAUUCUUCCCCCGACCUAGAAAAUCAAAAUAUGGGGUUCCGUAAUAUUAGACUUUUUUGAGGUGUCUAGACGUAGACCGAUGUCCUCCAAGUUACAUACACCUUACAGAUAAAGAGUUAAAUUUUGUCUCUAAAAGAAAUGUGCAAGUUGCAUACCGCUUUUUAACCCUCUGGAAGGACCAAUCUGAUUGUGUGAUUAUAGGUUCAACUUGAAAGGGUAACGGCACGCCAACGCGGAGCUUAAUAUUAUGCAAGUGUUUCCGUGAACUCCUUCCCCCUUCACCACUUAGGGUCUAUUCGACUUUUG
rnacentral:misc_RNA from 1 species